AGGACGAACGCUGGCGGCGUGCUUAACACAUGCAAGUCGAGCGGAAAGGCCCUUCGGGGUACUCGAGCGGCGAACGGGUGAGUAACACGUGAGUAACCUGCCCUGGACUUUGGGAUAACCCUCGGAAACGGGGGCUAAUACCGGAUACGACUUCUGACCGCAUGGUUGGUGGUGGAAAGUUUUUCGGUCUGGGAUGGGCUCGCGGCCUAUCAGCUUGUUGGUGGGGUGAUGGCCUACCAAGGCGACGACGGGUAG
rnacentral:rRNA from 1 species